GAUGAACGCUAGGCGGCAGGCUUAACACAUGCAAGUCGGAGGGGUAACAGAGGUAGCUUGCUACUUGCUGACGACCGGCGCGACGGGUGCGUAACGCGUAUAGAACCUUACCUUUACAGAGGGAUAGCCUUUAGAAAUGAAGAUUAAUACCUCAUAGUAUUGAGUAUUCGCAUGAAUAUUUAAUUAAAGAUUUAUCGGUAAAAGAUGGCUAUGCGUCCUAUUAGUUAGUUGGUAAGGUAAUGGCUUACCAAGACUUUGAUAGGUAGGGGUCCUGAGAGGGAGAUCCCCCACACUGGUACUGAGACACGGACCAG
rnacentral:rRNA from 1 species